rnacentral:rRNA from 1 species
UACGUAGGGUGCGAGCGUUGCCCGGAUUUAUUGGGCGUAAAGAGCUCGUAGGCGGUUUGUUGCGUCGGCUGUGAAAUCCCGAGGCUCAACCUCGGGUCUGCAGUCGAUACGAGCAAACUAGAGUGUUGCAGGGGAGACUGGAAUUCCUGGUGUAGCGGUGAAAUGCGCAGAUAUCAGGAGGAACACCGGUGGCGAAGGCGGGUCUCUGGGCCGUAACUGACGCUGAGGAGCGAAAGCGUGGGGAGCGAACAGG